GGACGGGUGAGUAAUACGUAGGAAUCUGCCCUGGAGUGGGGGAUAACCCGGGGAAACUCGGGCUAAUACCGCAUACGCUCUUUUAUCGUUGAGAUAGGAGAGGAAAGCGAGGGACCGAAAGGCCUCGCGCUAGAGGAUGAGCCUACGCCCGAUUAGCUAGUUGGUAGGGUAAAGGCCUACCAAGGCGACGAUCGGUAGCUGGUCUGAGAGGAUGGCCAGCCACACUGGGACUGGGACACGGCCCAGACUCCUACGGGAGGCAGCAGUGGGGAAUAUUGGACAAUGGGGGAAACCCUGAUCCAGCGAUGCCGCGUGGGUGAAGAAGGCCUGCGGGUUGUAAAGCCCUUUCAGUGGGGAAGAAAAACGGGGUGUGAACAGCGCUUCGUCUUGACGUU
rnacentral:rRNA from 1 species